rnacentral:rRNA from 1 species
AUUAAUAAUUAAUAUAUUUAAUAAAAAUAAUUUUAAUUUAAUAAGUAUUUUAAUGGGGGUUAAAGUAUUUUUUAAAGAAAAAAUUUUUAAAUUUAUAGUUAAUUAGUAUUGUGAAAGAAUUUUGAAAUAUUAUGAAAAAUAAAAUUUUUAGAAAGUAAUUUUUAUUUAUUGUAUCUUGUGUAUCAGAGUUUAUUAAAAAUUUUUAAUUUAUGAAUUAAUUUCUCGAAUUUAAAAGAGUUAAAUAAUUAUUAAAGUUAUUGUAGCAAAAUUAUUUUAAAUAAUUAUUUAGAAAUGAAAUGUUAAUCGUUUUUAAAUAUAUCUAGUUUUUAUAGAAAAAAAUUUAAUUUUAAAUUUAAAAAUUAUUUAAUUAAUUUAUUAAUUAAAUAAUUACUUAAAUUUUAUAAUUUAAGGGAUAAGCCUUAAAUUAAAUUUUUAUAAUAUUAAAUUUUUAUUUUGAAAAUUUUAUAAUUUAUAUUGUUAAUAAAUUUUAUUUUGUUAUAAAUAAUUUCAUUUUUUUUAAAAUUUAAAUUUUAUUUAAUUUUUUAUAUAAAAUUUAUCUAUAAUUAUAUAAAGUUAAUUAUAAUGAUAAAAUUAGUAUAUUAUUUAAUAUUAAAUUAAAAUUAAUUUUUGAUUAAUAAUUAAAUUAAUUAAAAGGAAUUCGGCAAAUAUUUAUUUUCACUUGUUUAUCAAAAACAUGUCUUUUUGUUAUUUAAUUUAAAGUCUAAUCUGCCCACUGAUUUAUAAAAAUUGAAGGGCUGCAGUAUAUUGACUGUACAAAGGUAGCAUAAUCAUUAGUCUCUUAAUUGGUGACUUGUAUGAAAGAUUGGAUGAAAAAU